rnacentral:lncRNA from 1 species
UUGGAGGCAAAGUGGAGAAAAAGAAAAAAUUAACGAAGGAAGAAAAAUAUCUAAGUUCCGCGGGUGUGAUUCAUGGCCUAUGGACUGGACCCAUAACCCGUGGAAGGUACUUGUGAGCAGGUUCUAAAGUGGAGGCAAAAUCUGAUUUUUAUCAAUGUGACCUACGACUUAUGAAUCCAACCUACGAUUUGUGAAUGUUAGUCGUGAACUAGAUACUAAGGAUAUAUAAAGAGUUUGAUUUCCACGAGAGAGGCCCAUAACCCAUAGACUGAUUCACUACUCCAAUGUACGAGUCAUAGGAAGCUACCAACUUGUUUCUCC